rnacentral:rRNA from 1 species
AUUGAACGCUGGCGGCAGGCCUAACACAUGCAAGUCGAGCGAGAGGCGGACGGGGGAGUAAUGUAUGGGGACUGCCCGAUAGAGGGGGAUAAAAACUGGAAACGGUGGCUAAUACCGCAUACUAUCGGAUAACCCAUAUGGGAUUAGCGAGUAGGUGGGGUAAAGGCUCACAUAGGCGACGAUCUCUAGCUGGUCUGAGAGGAUGAUCAGCACACCUGGGACUGAGACACGGCCCAGACUCCACCGGGGGCAGCAGUGGGGAUAAUUGCACAAGGGGCGCAAGCCUAAUGCAGCCAUGCCGCGUGUAGGAAGAAGGCCUUAGGGUUGUAAAGUACUUUCAGCGGGGAGGCGUUACCCGCAGAAGAAGCACCGGCUAACUCCGUGCCAGCAGCCGCGGUAAUAC